UUGAGAGGCUCAACAAAUUCAUGGUUCUGCUUUGUGUACUGCUUCAAAGUUAAAUGAACUGGAUUUGGGGCUCGACAUGUAAAGGAAUAUAGACUUCGGCCAGGUAGAGGCUCCGACGUGUAAAGUCUUUUUAUUACACCAAACCGCGCACUUGAGGCAGUUACGCGCAUUGUUCAUUAUCUUCCUCCUUGCGAUUUCUCUUUGUGGUCAUUGCAUUUCAGUUCUACGCGUGUUCUUGGGCGGCCAUUUUGCGCAUUUUUGGACAACGAUUUUGUGUGUUUUUGGACGGUCCACUCCUCUAUUUCCCUCCACUACGUUUUUAACCUGAUAAGAAGUGGUCGGCGAGCUUGCAACCAUGGAUCUACACACUCUCACGGGAGGCUUGCUCCUUCCCGUUCUCAAAUGUCAUUUGCCAUUACUCAUUAGAGAAGGCUAAAGACAUCAUACUCUUUGAAGUCUCUGAUUGAAAAUCACUAUGAUCAAUAAUUUCAUUCCAUAACGUUAUGGAAGUUGCUUGUACAACAUUGCGUUUUUAGCACGAAUGGAAAGUUGUUUGUCAAUCAUC